rnacentral:ncRNA from 1 species
ACGGCUAAUAGUUUUGAAAUAUACGGGAUUAGCGGUAGAUUCAAGACCAUCAAAACAACGUUACCGAAGUACAUAGAGAUGAUCACCGACCAGAAUAUUUCAGGGUUAUCGACAAACAAGCGUGGACC